CCUACGGGAGGCUGCAGUGAGGAAUAUUGGUCAAUGGGCGUAAGCCUGAACCAGCCAAGUCGCGUGAGGGAUGACGGUCCUAUGGAUUGUAAACCUCUUUUAUAAGGGAGCAAAGUGCGCCACGCGUCCUAUUCCGUAUGUACCCUAUGAAUAAGCAUCGGCUAACUCCGUGCCAGCAGCCGCGGUAAUACGGAGGAUCCGAGCGUUAUCCGGAUUUAUUGGGUUUAAAGGGUGCGCAGGCGGCCUUUAAAGUCAGCGGUAAAAUUGUGGGGCUCAACCUAGAAGAGCCGUUGAAACUGGUGGGCUUGAGUGUGUGUGAGGCAGGCGGAAUGCGUGGUGUAGCGGUGAAAUGCAUAGAUAUCACGCAGAACCCCGAUUGCGAAGGCAGCCUACCGGGGCAUAACUGACGCUGAUGCACGAAAGCGUGGGGAUCGAACAGGAUUAGAUACCCGAGUAGUC
rnacentral:rRNA from 1 species